UGUCCCCUCUGUUCUUCAGCAGUCUGAAUGAAUCUUUGGGUAUUAAUUGUUCCCCAAGCCCCUCUUGAAGAAACACGUGGGAUCGUAUCCAAGAGGCAUCCUGGCACCCUGCCAAGCCCUGCAUCCAGAUGGAGUGGUUGGUGCAGAUCCUGGGCAGGUUUGGCAAGCACCACCUCCAUGUGCAAUUGCUUAUUAUCCACACUUUUAAAUCAAUGUCAUGGUGCAGCUCAUUUUCAUCCUGGACUGAGUCAUAAAGGGACAUUUAUUAACAUGGAAUUAGCACUCCCCUCUGCUUCUCAGGGCCGGGAUUGGUUUUGGACAGAAUAUAAAGGGGAAUGGCAACACGGCAAAGAAAAGGAGAACCAUUUGGUGAACUUGAGUGAAAUGGGGCUCCACCUCCCCUCGGGGCUCCCCAAGGAGCUGAAGAAGAGCCUGAGCUCCUGCUGCCACCAAAGCGAUGUUCUAUGGGAGGCCCUGGAGAAGUUAAGAGCCUCUGUUCUAGGUCAGCCUUCACCAGGCAUCAGUGGCUUCCGUCCCAACCAGCAGCUGUCCAGUGUGGUGGCAGCUGUGCAGGAGCUGGCCCCGCUGCCAGUGCAGGAUCUGUGCCACAGGCACCAUCGUCUCCUCACUGUCUUUGUCACCACGAUGGAGUUCUUGUCUGCGCUGCUUGCAGCAAGCAUCGAGCCCACCCCACUGUGCUGCUCCAAGAGUCCGCUCGCUGCUACAGGGAGACCUUGGAGAGAUGGGAUAUCCCAGCCUGUCUGCGAGACCUGUAGUGCCCAGAAGCUGUUUGAAGCUUCCCUAAAAACCCUGCAAGAGGAGGACAAGCCACAUGCUGGGCUGACUGAGGCAGCAAAGGAGACAAGACAGGAGAUGCUGACUCGAGUCAGUGCUGACAAGCAGAAGCUGCGGGUGAUGCUGAAGGGGCUCCACUGGGUGCUGAGUGACCAGGAAUCACAGUUUCUUUCCCAGUUCCAUUGCCCGUGCUGGAGGUUGCAGGAACAGCAACAUGGUCAAGGUGCUGAGAUGUCAUGGAUCCAGCAAGGCCAUGCAGGGCUCCAGGCCAAGUGCCAGCAACCAGAUGGCAACGUGCUAUGGGUGAGACAAAACUUGGCCCCAGAAUCUGCUCCUCGCCUUUUUGGCUUUUAUUCACAUGAAAGCAUCCCUAAGCAUCUUUCUUCCUUCCUCUCCAGGAUGUCUGAACCACCUUGAACAGACAGAAAUGUGACAUGAAAAACCUGCUGCUACUUGACAGAGGAACAACAAACCCUUGCAACAUAACAAAGUUUGAAAAUCAACAUGUUCAAGCUUAAAGAGAGGAUGAUAAGCAGUUACAGAAGACACCAGUGAACAGAAUACACUGCAGACAGGGUCAGACACGUAAGAAUGAAAACCAAAAUGAUGGUGGGAACAGCAGUUUUUAAGAAACCCAAACAAAGAGCAACAUAUCUCCUUUUUCCUGAGAGGUAAGAAAAAAGGCUGAAAAAUGCAGAACAGGCUGAAAAAUGUAGAACAAGCACCUUUUCCCUGCAGCCUGUAGCUUUGUGUGUGUGUGUCCAUAUCUACUCCUGUGAUCUGAUUAUAACACGCCCUCCCUGAUGGUCAGUUUUGCAGAGAAUACGCUGCUGUUAUCCUUAUCCACAACACCUUGAGCAGCACUCAUGGGAGGCUGCUCUGCAGGAGGCAGAAAUGCUGCAGAGAUCUACCUGAGCACCCAUCAGGGAAAAUGGUCAAAUUUGGAGGAACAGACUUUUUCUCUCCAAGGAGGCAAAUGUGCUCACUAAUGUUUUUGAUGGCACCUGGGGAUCUGCUUAAAAUUGUUAUGCCUGUCAAACUAAUGUUUACCAGUUAAACAGGAGGCUAUGCAGUGGCAGUUUACUUUGCAUUCAAAGUGCUUUGGAGAAGGCACUGUGUCUUCACACACAUCAUAAGGAAGAUUUGCCUUGUCAAAGUACAAAUAGUAACCUGUAACCAGUAACCGAUAGGUAAAUAGUUAUAAAAGUUGCUAUCUAUCACAUCUAAAACUAAAACUUGCUAUCUGAUGUAAAACUGAAGUCAAAAGGCAGUAGUAAGCCAUUCAACAUAUUCCUCCUCUGAAUUAACUGGAGUUAAUGACAUAGAAAACCUGCAGAAGUAAUACACUUCAUUCUGUCAAUGAUUCUGUCUAGCUUGUGGUUGGGGUGUCAUUUAUAAUUCAUAUAGAAACUAUUAGUCUUGAUUUACCAUCUCUUGGUAAAUAUCAGCUUUUGAAACCUGUAAAAAUCUGACCUGUGUAAACAAAUACUCAAAACAACCUGCACAAUGCAUUAGAUAAACAUAACUUGCACUCAUCUCAGUAACAUUUUGAAAAAGUCAUGAAUCAGUGCUAUUUCUGGAGCAGUAAUUCUUAUUUAGUAAGAAAUCUUAUCUCUGAUUUUCAAACAGCUAGUCCAAACGUACUGGCUUAUGAAUAAAACAAAACAACAACCUUGAAAUAAAUGUGCUUAUCUAGCAGAGAUUAAUGCAAAAACCCCAGAGAUCCUUCUUGACUAUUUAUAAAGCAGUUUGCAUUUAAGACUAAGAUAUUGCCAUUCUCUUUGCUUGGCUGUCAGAAAAUGCGUGAAUGACAUUUAAAGAAUAGCAUGCAAAUGCAUAAAGUGUGGGGAAAGAAACUCUUGAACAACUUUGGACCUAGCCUCUAGACAAAACACAUAUAAAUCCUUAGUAUACUGAAGGAAUUAUAGGAGUGGAUGCUAAGGUAAUGGACCAAGACUGCCCAGAAGGCUAUGCUUCACUGAAUUGGAAAUUGAAAUUUAAGCACAUUUAUCUUAUUGGGACUGUAAUAUCCAUUUAUCUGACAAAAGAGUCAUUUGUAGGAUAGUCUUCAGAGAUAUAUAAUAACCUGGUAUUAUAAAACAUUUGGAGCAGUUAAGUUAUUCUAAAGUUCCACUGCUGAAAGGCUCCACAUUGUGCAGGUGUAACCUCCUCCACCCAGACUGUUCUACAUAGACAACUGCUAAGGAAAAAGAAUAGGAAAAAAGUUCUGAUGCUUGGCUGUAUUAUUCAGAUUGCAACUUCUCUUUUUGCAGCCUCACCAUCUACCCUAAUCUUGAAGGAGGAACUAGCAAACAGUGCAGCCCCCAGGGCUUCUCUUAAUGUCAGCUGUCUGCUCAGUACUGGGGAGGGAACUGAUCAGUCUCUUUGGCAUCCUUUAUUCUGCACUGCUCUGCAUCUGUAUUCAGCAGGGAGCCUGGUCUGUGCUGCAACACCUUGGGCCCAAAAAAUUCCAUAGAGGUUCCCAACAUAAUCCACAUAUUUGUAUAUAUUUGAUAGGCUGGCAAGCCCCAAUAAGCCAUAAUUCAUAACCUCACCUUUAAUACAACAAUAUUUUCUUCAGCACAAGCUGUGGAGAUAAAACAGUGAAUACAAGAAAGGAAUUUGCUUUUGGGAUUUGGGUUUUUUUAGAAUGCAAGGCAGUGACUUUUUAAAACAGAACAUGCAUCCAGCAAAACAUGGAUUCAAACCAUUCUCACAUAUUGUCACAUAAUUUUCACUGAUGAGAAUUUUUGUCUCUGAUCUAGAAGACUGGAUGUGGUGGAUAAUUGAGUGAUAAUCAACUGAGCUCCAAAACUACAUACAUCUUUAAGAAAU